ACCUUCUUCUCCUUUCUUCUUCCCUUCCCGAUCCCCUCCUCCUCCUCUUCUCCUCUCCUCCCAUGAGGCAAGGGGGUUGAGCUCGGGAGAAGGUCAACCUGAAGCCGGCGGUGCUGCGGGCAACCAGCGGCGCCUGCGGCGGCCGUGGUCCGACCGGCAGCAGCCGCGGCCCGGCUGGCCGCUCCUUUCCUCCAUCUCUGGUGGGGAAGAUGGAAGCUCGGGCACCGUCGAGAGGAAGGAAGGCCUCAGUCGCCCCGAUCCUCCCUCUCCAAAGUUCUCGACUACCGGAUCUAGGACCACCUUCACCGGACUUUUUCUUUUCUUCAUCCUUGACCUCUCCUCUUCUCCUCCUUCCUCGGUGGGAGAAAUGGAGCUUGAGGUCACAACUGUGGCCGAUCAUGCCAACGCCGACUCAGCGGCCGAACACCAUAGCCUCAUUGGAAUGAUUUGGAUGUAAAUCAGCAUGUGAACAAUGUCAAAUACGUUGGCUGGAUUCUUGAGGUACUUCAGAUGCCAUAGCUCAUAGACUGAUUUCUUAUUACAUAUUUUCGGUUUUUAUGUGUUUAUCUAAUUUCUUUACACAUUGAACAGCUUUGCCAAAUGUGACUUUUGUAUAGUGUGAGUAUUGAAAUGCUCGUCUGUUGAUUUUCUUAGUUUUCAUACUUACAGUGUUUACUUCAGCAUCAGCAUCUUAUGCAUGGAUAAUUCUUUAUGCGUUUGGACAUCCACCAAUGUAACAUUAGCUAUCAUGGCUUGCAUUUGUGCAGGAUGUUCCAUGAGCUUUAAUAGAAAUUUAGCUAAUCUUGCGGGGGAAGUGUGUAUAUAUAACUUGUUUCUAACUUUUCUCAGAUAGAUGGCUUGUAUUUUUUUUUUAUUCCUUUUGAGAAUAUAGCGGUUAUUCACCAUCACUCAGGUUUGAACCCGACAUCUCUCACUUGGAAAGAAAGGCACCAAAGCUGGUGGUAGAUGGCUGUUAUAUCUGAUGCUGCUAUCUUGUAUAAAAUUGUUUCUGGUGAUUCAUCAGUUUGAUGGCGUUUGGAUGGUUAAGACAAUUCUGUAUUAUAAUCGUAUACGUACUGCAUUUUCAUAAGAUUUCUUAUUUUGGACCUUCCA